UGGGGAAUAUUGCACAAUGGGCGCAAGCCUGAUGCAGCCAAGCCGCGUGUAUGAAGAAGGCCUUCGGGUUGUAAAGUACUUUCAGCGGGGAGGAAGGGAGUAAAGUUAAUACCUUUGCUCAUUGACGUUACCCGCAGAAGAAGCACCGGCUAACUCCGUGCCAGCAGCCGCGGUAAUACGGAGGGUGCAAGCGUUAAUCGGAAUUACUGGGCGUAAAGCGCACGCAGGCGGUUUGUUAAGUCAGAUGUGAAAUCCCCGGGCUCAACCUGGGAACUGCAUCUGAUACUGGCAAGCUUGAGUCUCGUAGAGGGGGGUAGAAUUCCAGGUGUAGCGGUGAAAUGCGUAGAGAUCUGGAGGAAUACCGGUGGCGAAGGCGGCCCCCUGGACGAAGACUGACGCUCAGGUGCGAAAGCGUGGGGAGCAAACAGG
rnacentral:rRNA from 2 species